rfam:Cavia porcellus supercont2_6 genomic scaffold, whole genome shotgun sequence.
GGGGAUUUAGCUCAGCGGCAUAAGCGCCUGCCUUGCAAGCAGGCAGUCAUAAGUUCGAUCCCCG